CGGUUCACAUCUCCUAAAUAAAACAUUUCCCCUGUGUAGGCGCUCCCGGGGGCUCCACAUGAGGUCAGCGUUUGGGUGGCUUUGCCGGGGUCAGAAGACUGUUCUUCCAGGAAGGGCUGCAGAGACCCUGGGAACGGGACCAGCCCAGCUCACAAGUAUGAAGAGAAUGUCGGAGAGGAAGUGGUGGCUGUGAGUCAGCAUGAGUCAUCUCGUUCCAAUGAGAACGAAGACUGAGGUGUGCGCCCUUUUUUUUCUUUUUCUUCUUUUUCCUCUUUUUUCUUUUCUUCCUCCCCCCCCCUUCUCUCUUUCUCUCUCUCUCUCUUUUUUUUUUUUUUUUUUUUUUGGUCUCAGCCACGGGGACAUGUUCAGGAAUAGAGGGGAAUAGUGACUGGCUGGCUGUUCUGAGCCUGGGCUAGUAUUCCAGGCCGGCUGUGCCUGAGCCCGUGUGUGCCCCAGACCUUCGCGGCUCGGCGGCUGGAAGGUGGAGCCAGCGGCUUCUCCCCGGUGCCCGAGGACAACCAUGUUGGCGUCUUUCUCUUGGUCACAGCCGGAGCUCCACGGGGAUCUGCUGGGCUGCAGGAUGCUGCCAACGGAUGCGGGUGGCCCGCGUGGCCCCCAGAGCAAUCGGUGCCUGGCCUACUGCUCACCUGGCCCCUGCUCCAGCCCUCACGUGCAGUCCCUCAGAAGAGCAUUGCUCCCGUUAGAAAAAAGGCCACCUGACUGCCCUUGACCCGUCUCUUCUUGAAACAAGAGUGAACCAGCAAAGUAUUUCUGAAGACAUGGUAGGCAUCUGGCAGCUGUUUUGUUGACAAACACUGUCCCUGCCAAUGGAUUGUCUAAGAAUGAGAACAAGGAGAGGGAACCAAGUGGAGCAAGGAAGACCCGGAUUCUAGCAUAAGCUUGCCACCUGUAAGUGUCAUUCGACCUCUGCCCUGUGAUUUCCUUAACUAUUAAAUGAAGAUACGACUUUGGGGCUUUCAAGCCUCAUGCAGGUGUUGUCAAGACACAAGAUCCGAUUCAAAGGGGUACAUGCACCUCGAUGUUUAUAGCAGCAAUGUCCACAAUAGCCAAACUACAGAAGCCGCCCAAGUGUCU